GCGGUGCAUUAGCUAGUUGGUAGGGUAACGGCCGUACCAAGGGCGAUGAUGCAUAGCCCGAGUUGAGAGACUGAUCGGCCACAUUGGGGACUGAGACACGGCCCAAACUCCUACGGGAGGCAGCAGUAGGGAAUCUUCCACAAUGGACGCAAGUCUGAUGGAGCAAACGCCGCGUGAGUGAAGAAGGGUUUCGGCUCGUAAAGCUCUGUUGUUGGUGAAGAAGGAUAGAGGUAGUAACUGGCCCUUUAUUUGACGGUAAUCAACCAGAAAGUCACGGGCUAACUACGUGCCAGCAGCCGCAGUAAAU
rnacentral:rRNA from 1 species